rnacentral:rRNA from 1 species
GAUGAACGCUGGCGGCGUGCCUAAUACAUGCAAGUCGAGCGAACGGACGAGAAGCUUGCUUCUCUGAUGUUAGCGGCGGACGGGUGAGUAACACGUGGAUAACCUACCUAUAAGACUGGGAUAACUUCGGGAAACCGGAGCUAAUACCGGAUAAUAUUUUGAACCGCAUGGUUCAAAAGUGAAGGACGGUCUUGCUGUCACUUAUAGAUGGAUCCGCGCUGCAUUAGCUAGUUGGUGAGGUAACGGCUUACCAAGGCAACGAUGCAUAGCCGACCUGAGAGGGUGAUCGGCCACACUGGAACUGAGACACGGUCCAGACUCCUACGGGAGGCAGCAGUAGGGAAUCUUCCGCAAUGGGCGAAAGCCUGACGGAGCAACGCCGCGUGAGUGAUGAAGGUCUUCGGAUCGUAAAACUCUGUUAUUAGGGAAGAACAUAUGUGUAAGUAACUGUGCACAUCUUGACGGUACCUAAUCAGAAGCCACGGCUAACUAGUGCCAGCAGCCGCGGUAAUACGUAGGUGGCAAGCGUUAUCCGGAAUUAUUUGGCGAAAGCGCGCGUAGGCGGUUUUUUAGUCUGAUGUGAAAGCCCACGGCUCACCCGUGGAGGGUCAUUGGAAACUGGAAAACUUGAGUGCAGAAGAGGAAAGUGGAAUUCCAUGUGUAGCGGUGAAAUGCGCAGAGAUAUGGAGGAACACCAGUGGCGAAGGCGACUUUCUGGUCUGUAACUGACGCUGAUGUGCGAAGGCGUGGGGAUCAAACAGGAUUAGAUACCCUGGUAGUCCACGCCGUAAACGAUGAGUGCUAAGUGUUAGGGGGUUUCCGCCCCUUAGUGCUGCAGCUAACGCAUUAAGCACUCCGCCUGGGGAGUACGACCGCAAGGUUGAAACUCAAAGGAAUUGACGGGGACCCGCACAAGCGGUGGAGCAUGUGGUUUAAUUCGAAGCAACGCGAAGAACCUUACCAAAUCUUGACAUCCUUUGACAACUCUAGAGAUAGAGCCUUCCCCUUCGGGGGACAAAGUGACAGGUGGUGCAUGGUUGUCGUCAGCUCGUGUCGUGAGAUGUUGGGUUAAGUCCCGCAACGAGCGCAACCCUUAAGCUUAGUUGCCAUCAUUAAGUUGGGCACUCUAAGUUGACUGCCGGUGACAAACCGGAGGAAGGUGGGGAUGACGUCAAAUCAUCAUGCCCCUUAUGAUUUGGGCUACACACGUGCUACAAUGGACAAUACAAAGGGCAGCGAAACCGCGAGGUCAAGCAAAUCCCAUAAAGUUGUUCUCAGUUCGGAUUGUAGUCUGCAACUCGACUACAUGAAGCUGGAAUCGCUAGUAAUCGUAGAUCAGCAUGCUACGGUGAAUACGUUCCCGGGUCU